rnacentral:rRNA from 1 species
UAACACGUGGGUAACCUGCCUCUGACUGGGGGAUAACUCGGAGAAAUCCGUGAUAAUACCGCAUAAUGUGCAUCCACAUAAGUGGAUGUACCAAAGUGGCUUCGGCAGUCGGUCAGAGAUGGGCCCGCGGCAGAUUAGCUUGUUGGUGGGGUAAAGGCCUACCAAGGCGACGAUCUGUAGCUGGUCUGAGAGGACGAUCAGUCACACUGGAACUGAGACACGGUCCAGACUCC